AAGCUUCGUCCUUUCUGGUUCUGCUAGAGUUAACAGUAGCUUAACAACAACAAAAAAAAAUGCAACAUAGAAUCUAGUCUUUGUAGUAUUGGCUGUGAGUUGACUGUAUUUGUUUAUAUUAAUGAAAGAAAUGUAUGUGGCCAUAAGGAAAACAAGCUAACAACAUGCAUGUAGCCUAAUAUACCUUGUAUUCUCAGUAGGGUUUUCAAAAGUAUAGAAAUGCAUUUUACUUGAAUACUAAUUUUUCAUGGUAUCGAUUCUGCAGCCUACAAUCCAAAUGCACUUCCUGUUCACCAUGUCUAGAGUUGCAGCCCCGUUUCCACCCACUUACAGGUAUUAAUGUGGCAACUUCACUAGCUUAGGCAUGCUAGUGAAGGCUCCAAAUUGACAAAGAGGGCAGCCACAAUGGCGUCUGGAAUUACUUAGGCUUUUGCUACAUUACAGGUGGAAAACCACAAAAUAAGAUUAAAGUCUGUAUUCAAGAUUUGCUACCGUACAAUACCAACUAAAGGGGUUAACACAAACCGUUUAAUCAAACACUUAAAAGCGUUAAUGGUAAAAGCCUUUAUGGAGCCUUAGAUGGGAGAGUCCCACUCUGUAUUCAGGGCACACAACCCUAAAUUUACCUAAACUGUGCCCACUCAGAUGACAGUGGCCUAGACGGAUGCCUGUUUUACCUAAUUGGUUGACAGGCUCUGCUU